rnacentral:rRNA from 1 species
CCUACGGGAGGCAGCAGUGGGGAAUAUUGCACAAUGGGCGAAAGCCUGAUGCAGCAACGCCGCGUGAAGGAAGAAGGGUUUCGGCUCGUAAACUUCUAUCAACAGGGACGAAAGAAAUGACGGUACCUGACUAAGAAGCCCCGGUUAACUACGUGCCAGCAGCCGCGGUAUUACGUAGGGGGCAAGCGUUAUCCGGAAUUACUGGGUGUAAGGGGUGAGUGGGUGGGAUGGUAAGCCAGAUGUUAAAGCAUCGGGCUUAACCCGAGGAUAGCAUUUGGAACUAGCAGGCUAGAGAACAGGAGAGGUAAGCGGAAUUCGUAGUGUAGCGGUGAAAUGCUUAGAUAUUAGGAAGAACACCAGUGGCGAAGGCGGCAUUCUGGACUGAAACUGACGCUGAGGCACGAAAGCGUGGGGAGCGAACAGGAUUAGAUACCCGAGUAGUC